AAUCUGAAGCUUUUCAAGCAGAGUAAACACUCAAAGCGCUGGUUGGAGUUGCCAAGAGCAUGGCCCUUGUGAGCCCCGUUCUGGAGGCCUGCUCGUCCUGACUUUCACUGUGACCUUGACAAAGCACCAGGAAUCACCAGCAACAACUUUUGUAUGCCAGGAAAAUAGGAUGCCUGCCCGACCUAUGAAAUGCUGUGAACCCAAACGGAUCUUUACUCUGGAUCUUACCUGCCUCACGAUUUUAGGCUCCAACGUUAAAAUGUAGUAUUACCACUGCAGGUAGUACUUCUAUUUAAAAGACAGGCUACGGGGAGCCUGGGUGGCUCAGUGGUUAAGUGUCUGCUUUCGGGUCAGGUCAUGAUCUCAGCGUCCUGGGUUGGAGCCCCAGGUCCGGCUCCCUGCUCAGUGGAGAGUCGGCUUCUCCCUGCCCCUCUCCCCCUACCCCCAACUUGUGUGCUCUCUCUCAAAUAAAGAAAAUCUUUUUUAAAAAGGAAAAAAAUAAAAGAUAGGAUGCACUGGACAUUGUCACAAG